rnacentral:rRNA from 1 species
UACGUAGGGACCGAGCGUUGUCCGGAUUCAUUGGGCGUAAAGAGCUCGUAGGCGGCUGCUCAAGUCGAAUGUGAAAACUCGAGGCUCAACCUCGAGCCUGCAUUCGAUACUGGGCGGCUAGAGUCUGGUAGGGGGAUCUGGAAUUCCUGGUGUAGCGGUGGAAUGCGUAGAUAUCGGGAGGAACACCAGUGGCGAAGGCGGCUUCCUGGCCUGUUCUUGACGCUGAGGCGCGAAAGCUAGGGUAGCAAACGGG